CUUUGGUCUAAAAGCAUUCCUCUGGCAUAUCUUUGUGACAAAGUCUUCCAGAUGCACGGUACUCCAUUGUGUAGAGGUACCAUAGUUUAUUCAACUACUUUCUUAUGUGUGCUGAGUGGAAAGCCCACACUCCAGAAGCUCAUUAAAAGGGCCAAGUUACAGUACAGGUUUAUUUCUGUCACAGCGUUUCUGAAAACAGUGACAAGGAUUAAUAUGUUUCUUUAGUACUGGAAAAAGCCUGACACAAUCCCCUGUGAAUU